rnacentral:rRNA from 1 species
UACGUAGGGUGCGAGCGUUGUCCGGAAUUACUGGGCGUAAAGAGCUCGUAGGUGGUUUGUCGCGUUGUUCGUGAAAACUCACAGCUCAACUGUGGGCGUGCGGGCGAUACGGGCAGACUGGAGUACUGCAGGGGAGACUGGAAUUCCUGGUGUAGCGGUGGAAUGCGCAGAUAUCAGGAGGAACACCGGUGGCGAAGGCGGCGACCUGGGUCGACACUGACGCUGAGGCGCGAAAGCGUGGGGAGCAAACAGG